AAAUUAAAUAAACAAAGUGAAAAUGAAUAUUUCUUAAACUUUUCAAACAUUCCUUGUAAAUGCAGAUGAAACUGAAAGGCAAAUUUCAGAAAUCUAAUUUGCAGGACAUUAAUAUAUUUCCUAUAUAAAACAUAUUUCAAAAUCACACACAAAACACAGCACAGAGAAAACAAGAGAAAACAGUGAGUGUGAUUGGCUCUUUCUUCAGUUCCUCAAGUGUGAAAUAUAGACAUGAUGUUCUCAGAGAGGAGGGACUCAGAGUUCACAGAUCUGACAUGAUCUAAUCGUGUCUGAAAGAGACUGUGGAUGAAACGAUUCAGUCUGACUCUUCUCAGAGUGAACACUUGAACAAUGAAUCUUCAUUCACUUAUUCUGCUCUGUGUCUCAGCAGCUGCUGUCUUUGGAAAUACCAUCAAACCAGACACAACAGAUGUUGGUGCUGAUGAGGGACAAAAUGUUAAGUUGUCCUGUAGUUAUUCCUCCACUGGAGUUACAGAGUAUCUCUUCUGGUACCGUCAGUAUGGAAGAUCAAAACCUGAAUUUCUUGUUUCCACCUUCAGUACUGCAACAGAUCCUGAAGAAUCUAAAGUAGAUUUAAGAUUCUCUGUUAAAGUUGAAAAAAAGGAACAAAUCCACAUGGAUCUGAUCAUCUCCUCUGCUGCAGUAUCAGACUCUGCUCUGUAUUACUGUGCUCUGAGGCCCACAGUCACAGGAAACACUGUAACUCUGUACAAAAACCCUUCUGUAUUUAAUCCAAUGAGAACAAGCAAUAGACACAGAGACAAAGACUACAAGAGAAUCUGUAAACUGCAGAUGUAAAUAAUAAGUAGAGCAAUAACUGAAUGAAAAUAAAUAAA